UGUUCAGGAAGUUGCGGAAUGGCUUUUGGUGAAGAUUGUAGUCAAGGUGAUUCCUAAACUGGAUUAUAGAAAGAGAAAAGUCAGGAAAGUGCAGUACAAAGUUUUAACAUCAUUCUACAUCUGGUUCCUUUGGGAACCUGCUGUCUGACUGAAUCCAUGUGGAUCUUAUAGGGCUUUCAAUCAUAGGAAUCCUCAACUCCAGCCACAGAGAAGGCCAUCACACAGGUUAGACCAAUCAUAGUACUGCCGUCCCUGGUUAAUGUUCAGUAAUGAGCAUGCAUCUCAAAUUGGGACAAUUAGAGCCCAUGCCAGCAUUUUUCUUCCCGAGAAAACAAAAUUAACGGUCUCUUUCAUCUGAGGACACCAAGCUAUGAAACUAUGAGCCCGAGGAUAUCUAUGGCCUUCUUGACACCCAAGCAAUUUUAGAGCCUGACAUAUUCCACAGAGUACUUAAGGCAGCUGGCUUCACAGUUUUCCAUCGGGCAGAGUCUUGGUGAGCUACAGAUCUCUUUGGGGACUACAAAUAAGCAGACAUUUCAUUAUACAACAGGCAAUUGGGAAUGGUAAGGCAAGCGGAUCCAUUUCAUGGUGAUGGUACAAAUGUGGGUUAGAGUAUAAGCCAUAUUGACAGCCAUGUCUACAGGCUCACAGUUCUAUGGCCUCACUUCAAUUCUGCUUG